GAUGAACGCUGACAGAAUGCUUAACACAUGCAAGUCAACUGUGGCGGACGGGUGAGUAACGCGUAAAGAACUUGCCUCUCAGAUAGGGACAACAUUUGGAAACGAAUGCUAAUACCUUAUACUGUGAGAGAGCUUUGCGUCCCAUUAGCUAGUUGGAGAGGUACCGGCUCACCAAGGCGAUGAUGGGUAGCCGGCCUGAGAGGGUGAUCGGCCACAAGGGGACUGAGAAACGGCCAUUACUCCUACGGGAGGCAGCAGUGGGGAAUAUUGGACAAUGGACCAAAGUCUGAUCCAGCAAUUCUGUGUGAACGAUGAAGUUUUCGGAGUGAAAAGUGCUUUCAGUUGGGAAGCAGUACCAACAGAAGAAGUGACGGCUAAAUACGUGCCAGCAGCCGCGGUAAUUC
rnacentral:rRNA from 1 species